rnacentral:tRNA from 1 species
AAGAUUUUAAGUUAUUGAAACUAUUAACCUUCAAAGUUAAAUAUACUAAUUUUAAGUAAAUCUUA